GCCCAGUUAGCUUAGUUGGUAGUGCGUCUGCCUCGUAAGCGCUAGGCCGCGGGUUCGAUUCCCGCCCGGGGCG
rnacentral:tRNA from 1 species